rnacentral:tRNA from 1 species
UCCGAUAUGGUGUAGUGGCUAACAUUAUCGCCUCUCACGCGAUAGCCCGGGGUUCGAUUCCCCGUAUUGGAA